GCUGGGCGUGGUGGCAGGCGCCUGUAGUCCCAGUUACUCGGGAGGCUGAGGCAGGAGAAUGGCGUGAACCCAGGAGGCGGAGCUUGCAGUGAGCCAAGAUUGCACCACUGCACUUCAGCCUGGGCUGGAGAAGGAGUAAGACUCCUUCUCAGAAGAAAAAAAAAAAAAAAAAGACAGGAUCUCGCUUUGUUGCCCAGGCUGGAGUGCAGUGGUGCAAUCUGGGUUCACUGCAACCUCUGCCUCCCAGGUACAAGCGAUUCUCGUGCCUC
rnacentral:SRP_RNA from 1 species